rnacentral:lncRNA from 1 species
AAUAAAAAAAUGAUAAAACACAUAUUUGUAUUGUAUGAUUUAAAACAUUUACUAUUAAAAUGGCGUCAUGUAUGUCAGUCACUAAGAAUAUAACUUCUGUUUGUGUUACUUCAUAAAAGGCAUUGAGUUGUAAAGUUAAUAGGUUUGUUUUUUUGAGAAGAUUAGGAGGAAGUAAAAAUUCUAGUGAAGAAAUAAAAGGAUAAGAACUGCUCUAUAGAUUAAGUCCUAUCACAAGUUAAAUUUCUUUCAACUUUGAGAAUUACCCCUGAAUAGUUGUCUUCCCAUUAUGAUUUUUGAAGACUGUCAGUGGUGAUAUCAGAAGCAUAAGUAUGACUUAGUUGUAUUCAUAAAACUAUGACUUUUUUUUAAAUGAUAGCCGCAUAUAAUUAACAAAACUCAAUGAAAGGAAAUUCUCUUGAGCUGGAGAUACGGUUGGGGAGCUUGAUGAAUUUGAAAUUACCCAAGUUUUCAUGCUGCUGACCCUCCCUUAACUAUGGGAAUCUCUAUAGAACAUUAUCUUCUGGAUCAUUUACGUUAGGAUAUAUAGAUUUUUACUGGGUUGUAUUAUUUUUUGGAUAUAUUUGAUAUUAGAAAUGAAUACAGUUUUUAUUUCAAGAAGAUUAUUUUUUUCUAGGGUAUUUUCAAACGAUUAUAUUUCAGUUAUCUUUCAAAAAAUAGGUUUCAUCUUCUAGAAUUGUUAAGAUUUUUUUGAGAUUAUUACCCUUCUUAUCUAUUUCAUGGCUUUCUAUUAGAACACUUAUUCCUACUAACAUUAUUAGAAUAAAUAGCAUCUAGAAUUUUGUCAGUUUUUGGAAGGUGACAAUAUUUGCUACUCUAGAAUUGAUAAUACAGAAAGCUAGCUUCUUUCUCUGUUUGCCUUAUUAAGACAGAGGAGCAUAAACCAUCUGUAAAACUUUGAAAGGAAUUUAUAUGUACACAAUUGAAUGUUUCCAUUAAUAUUUGCUAGGUUAAAAUUGGAUAUGAGGUAAUAUCACAAGUGUUUUGUUUUAAUAUUUAUUUUUUUUAUAUGAGUACACUGUCUCUGUCUUCACACACACCAGAAGAGGGCAUCAGAUGACAUUACAGAUGGUUGUGAGCCACCAUGUGGUGGCUGGGAAUUGACCCUCUCUGAGAGCAGUCAGUGCUCUUAACCACGGAGCCAUCUCUCCAGGCCCACAAGUGUUUUUUAGUUGUAACGUUAUCUUUUUUUUUUUUUUAAAUAUGUUCAGUUUAGACACCACUGUUCUUGGAUUUAAAUUUUUUAUAUAAAAUUUUGUUUGCUUAGUAAAAUUAAUUUUAUACUUAAUAUUUGUCGGUUUGUCUGGCAUCUCAUUUAUUUUGGAAUUGGCACCAUUAUUUGAAAAGUCCUUUCUCCAAAGUCAUAUUUUUAUGGUUGUUUUGUACCUUUAUCAUGCAUGCAUAGUAUUUUAUCUCUGAUUUUAAUAUACCUAAUUUAUUAGUCACAGAUACUUAUUCAUUUACUUAAUUAAUUUGCAAUCUUAGGGACUAAACCCAUGAUUUCAUGAUGAUCUCUUAAAUAUGACUUUUUUUUCUUGUAAAGAUACAUUUUAAGGGCAGGGAGAUAGCUAAGUCAGCAGGUUACUUACUAUACUAACACAAAGAAACUAAGUUACAUUCCCAGUAUUCACAAAGAAGCUGUGUGUGUAAGAUUUUGAGUAUAAUCCCUUUGCUGUAGAGGAAGAGACAAGAAGAUCUUGAGGCCCAUUGACCUGCUGCUAUGGCUUUAUCAGGGAACCUCUGAUCUCAAUGAGAAACAUUGCCUCAAGUAAAUGCCAUUAUGUAUUUUUGGAAAUGAUUAAAUUAAUUUCACC